GAUGAAGAACGCAGCGAAAUGGGAUACGUAAUGUGAAUUGCAAAUUCAGUGAAUCAUCGAGUCUUUGAACGCACAUUGCGCCCCCUGGUAUUCCGGGGGGCAUGCCUGUCCGAGCGUCAUUGCUGCCCUCAAGCACGGCUUGUGUGUUGGGCCCCGUCCUCCGAUCCCGGGGGACGGGCCCGAAAGGCAGCGGCGGCACCGCGUCCGGUCCUCGAGCGUAUGGGGCUUUGUCACCCGCUCUGUAGGCCCGGCCGGCGCUUGCCGAUCAACCCAAAUUUUUAUCCAGGUUGACCUCGGAUUAGACAGGGAUACCCGCUGAACUUAAGCAUAUCAAUAAGCGGAGGA
rnacentral:misc_RNA from 1 species